rnacentral:tRNA from 3 species
GCGCCUAUAGCUCAGCCUGGUAGAGCAGCUGCCUUUUAAGCAGACGGUCGCAGGUUCGAAUCCUGCUGGGCGCACCA